GUGAGGAAUAUUGGUCAAUGGACGAGAGUCUGAACCAGCCAAGUCGCGUGAAGGAAGACGGUUCUAUGAAUUGUAAACUUCUUUUGUGCAGGAAUAAAGUGGGUUACGUGUAACCUUUUGUAUGUACUGUACGAAUAAGGAUCGGCUAACUCCGUGCCAGCAGCCGCGGUAAUACGGAGGAUCCGAGCGUUAUCCGGAUUUAUUGGGUUUAAAGGGUGCGUAGGUGGAUUGAUAAGUCAGCGGUGAAAUGUUGCAGCUUAACAUUAAAAUGGACGUUGAAACUGUCGGUCUUGAGUGCAAAUGAGGUAGGCGGAAUGUGGUAUGUAGCGGUGAAAUGCUUAGAUAUAACACAGAACUCCGAUUGCGAAGGCAGCUUACUGGGAUGCAACUGACACUGAUGCACGAAAGCGUGGGUAUCAAACAGGAUUAGAAACCCUUGUAGUCC
rnacentral:rRNA from 1 species